rnacentral:rRNA from 1 species
UACGGAGGGGGCUAGCGUUGUUCGGAAUUACUGGGCGUAAAGCGCGCGUAGGCGGUUUACUAAGUUGGGCGUGAAAGCCCGGGGCUCAACCCCGGAACUGCGUUCAAAACUGGUAGACUAGAGGCCGGGAGAGGAGAGCGGAAUUCCAAGUGUAGAGGUGAAAUUCGUAGAUAUUUGGAAGAACACCAGUGGCGAAGGCGGCUCUCUGGCCCGGUUCUGACGCUGAGGCGCGAAAGCGUGGGGAGCGAAC